GUCCAGCUUUAGCAUAGAGCAGAGUCUGCUCCUUAAUGCAUCCCUGGAUCAUAGCGGACUCUGCCUCUAGAGGCCUGGGGUCCCUUUGGCAGCACUUUUGUCAAGAAAGUAGAGUCGUGGACAACCAACUGCACAGGUUGGGAGGAAAACUUACAGCCUCCAUCACUCUUCAGGAGAGUGGCAGUCAAGGAGUAAGACUCAAGCAAAGAACAUCCAGAUGGGGAUCCAGAUUGAAUAACUGAGGUUUUAGCCUAAUCAAGCUGACAAGUAAAACUUACCAUAAUAGUGCUCAUUAGAAAUGGUGCUGCCUGAACUCAUGGAAGAUGUCUGACCAUCAUUCUGUCAUAUCCUGAUAAUACUGAUAAGAAAAUUGGGAAUCUAAGAGAACGUAAGGAGAGUGAUGGUGACAUAUUGAACCUAAGGCUUUGAAGAACAAGCUGCCAUGAAUCCUGCAGCUACAAGGAAAUGAACUCUAUUAACUUGAGUGAGCUUAAAACUAGAUCCUUCCCCAGUCAAGCCUCCAGGUGAGAAUUCAGUCCUGGCUGGCACCUGGAUUGCAGCUUACAGAAGACCCAGCUAAGGCCAUGUCUGGACUUUAAAUCCACAGGAACUGCAAGAGAACUGUUUGAUACAGGCAACCAGGACUGUAUGAGAGGCUGGAAAUGUAUCUAUCAGUACUACUUAUCUGUAGUAAAGACUUUUUUAAGCUCAUUUAUGAUUGCACAACCUAAAUAACCAUACAUGGCUGGGCCUGGGAAAGGCAGAAAAGCAGAUGGGAAAACAGACCUCCACAUAGAUCUGAAGAAGUGUUGUAAAAUAAAUGGAAAAUAUGGCCUCUCUCGCUGGAGUAAGAGAUUUUCAGGCUUUUGUGGGAUCCUCUGGGAGCUCAGCUUCUUAGGCUAGAAGUGCCAGGGAAUUACUUCACCAAAUUCCCCCUUCUACUGGGGCUGCUGAUGGUAUCAGAAGUGGGACCUGCAGUGGGGCAUCUAGCAACCCCCAGGAGCAUUAAGUGACAAGGCUUGGGACCCACCGGGCCCAGGGUGUCCAUUGUUCUCUCGAAGCAACUGAGAAUUGUGGAGACUCCACGUCUGAUAUCAACCAACCACCUGAUGAUGCCCCUUCUUUUUUGCCUGAUGAGAAACCAUUGACCACAGAGUCAUUCUGGCCAUACUACAGAGAUUGCACAAUGAGGAUUUUCAUGUCCUCUGCUUUACCUUUUGAUGUCGGAUGCCUGAAAACACCCUUGAAUCGUGCUAAUGCCACUACGUUUUCACAGGACCCAUGAAGGAGCAUCAAGCUCAGCCUCAGAUAUUCUUCAUUAUUCCAUCAUCAUCUCAAACCUCUUGGGUAUAGUGUUUGACUGCUACUGUGACCAUAAAUUCCAAUAAAACCUAGGAAAAAAUGAAACCACUACAUUAACUGAAAGGGUCACGUGGAGCCCACAUAUACCUGCAGUCCAUGCAUUGAUAGUGAAUAACACAUGAGAAUUGAAGCUCCAGUUGUGUAAAUCAAAAGAAGGCAAUAGGAGACAAACUUAUGCUUCCAGGAAAAUGGAGUAGACAUACUUCUCCCAAUUCUUUCUACUAAGUACAGCUAAAAACCUGGACAUUAAAUAUAAAAUAAAUGCAAAAAUACCCUGAAUGUUGGAGAGAAGAAAGCAGACCAAGUAGGUACUUUGGAUUAAAAAACAACACAUUGUAAGUGGAGAAUUUUCACCUUUUUACUUGAAGGAAGGAUUUGACAGCUUCUUUUGGGCAUAUCAGAAUCGCCAGCAUCACUACUCUUGCACUGUGGGGCCAUUAUUAAGUGAAAUAAGGAUUACUUGAACACAAGCACUGCAAUGCUGCUACAGUCAAUGUGAAAACCCAGCUGGUGACUAAGUGACCAAGGACGGGGAGUAUCUACAGCGGGGAGACUCUGGAAAAAGGGAGGAUUCACAUCCAGUGCCAUCGGGGCAGGGCAGAAUGAGAGUUCAUCAUGCUACACAGAAUGGCACAGAAUGUAAGACUUGUGAGUGGAUUAUCUCUGGAAUUUUCUAUUGACGACAUUUGUACUACAGUUGUAUGUGGGUAACAAACUGUGGAAAGUGAAACCUCGGGUAAGGGGGAGGCUACUGUAGAUAGCCCAGUAUUUCUCAUUUUGUGUAUUUGUUUACCUUUCUGCUCACAUCCUUUUCCUUCUGCAUUACCAUUUUAGUAAAAAUAGAUAGCAUCCA